rnacentral:rRNA from 1 species
UUUAUUGGAGAGUUUGAUCCUGGCUCAGGAUGAACGCUGGCGGCGUGCCUAAUACAUGCAAGUCGAGCGAAUGGAUUAAGAGCUUGCUCUUAUGAAGUUAGCGGCGGACGGGUGAGUAACACGUGGGUAACCUGCCCAUAAGACUGGGAUAACUCCGGGAAACCGGGGCUAAUACCGGAUAACAUUUUGAACUGCAUGGUUCGAAAUUGAAAGGCGGCUUCGGCUGUCACUUAUGGAUGGACCCGCGUCGCAUUAGCUAGUUGGUGAGGUAACGGCUCACCAAGGCAACGAUGCGUAGCCGACCUGAGAGGGUGAUCGGCCACACUGGGACUGAGACACGGCCCAGACUCCUACGGGAGGCAGCAGUAGGGAAUCUUCCGCAAUGGACGAAAGUCUGACGGAGCAACGC